rnacentral:rRNA from 1 species
CAGCAGCCGCGGGAAUACGUAGGGUCCGAGCGUUGUCCGGAAUUACUGGGCGUAAAGAGCUCGUAGGUGGUUUGUCGCGUUGUUCGUGAAAACUCACAGCUCAACUGUGGGCGUGCGGGCGAUACGGGCAGACUAGAGUACUGCAGGGGAGACUGGAAUUCCUGGUGUAGCGGUGGAAUGCGCAGAUAUCAGGAUGAACACCGGUGGCGAAGGCGGGUCUCUGGGCAGUAACUGACGCUGAGGAGCGAAAGCGUGGGGAGCGAACAGGAUUAGAGACCCCAGUAGUCCCUGUCUCUUAUAC